ensembl:lncRNA
CAGAAAUAUACCGUGGAGAAGUUAACAUGGGUAACAUGCGUAUAUUAAUGGAUAUAUUAAUCAUUCAGAUUUUUGUGGAAAGACAGUUUGAGAGAUACAGAGACAGAGAGACAGAUUGAGAGAGAGACAGACGGAGAAAGGGAGACAGAUUGAGGGAUAUAGAGAGAGACAGAAGGAAAGAGACAGACAUGAGAGAAGGGCAGAAGUGUGGCAGUGUUAAAAAAAACACAACGUUAGAAGAUUGAACUUUUCAACUCCACUUCAGCGCCAUUUCUACGCACUCUGCAUUGCUGGAACGGCCUGACGGACUCCGGGCUGCAUUUCUUCUUGAGGAGGUGUGGUCUUCCCCUGUUCGUCCCGAAGGGCGUGGCUGGAACAGCUAGCUGACAGCAAUCAGCCAUCAGGGGACUCUCCUACAUCAACCCGGGUCUUCCUGCCAUUCAGCGCCAGAUCGUUCUGUUAUCAGAGUGAGAGGAUCCUCCCAAUCCGCAGUGAACACCUGAGGAUACAAGUCCUCAAGCAGAAGUCCCGAACCGCUCCGCUUUCUGGAUCUUGAUUUACAAUAAGCUUUAUUUAAUAUUUCCUGAUGUUGACUGAAAUAUAUGCCAACCAAUUGUAAUACAGUAUGCCUUAUUUUUUUGCAAUGGAAUUCUGGAAAAUACAGUUGCUGGCAAUUUGCUGUAACUGUAAUAAAAUACCGUAACUCAAA